AGCGAACGCUGGCGGCAGGCCUAAAACAUGCAAGUCGAGCGCUCGUAGCAAUACGGGAGCGGCAGACGGGUGAGUAACACGUGGGAACGUACCCUUUGGUUCGGAACAACCCAGGGAAACUUGGGCUAAUACCGGACAAGUCCGCAAGGAGAAAGAUUUAUCGCCGAAGGAUCGGCCCGCGUCUGAUUAGCUUGUUGGUGAGGUAACGGCUCACCAAGGCGACGAUCAGUAGCUGGUCUGAGAGGAUGAUCAGCCACACUGGGACUGAGACACGGCCUAGACUCCUACGGGAGGCAGCAGUUAGGAAUCUUGGACAAUGGGCGCAAGCCUGAUCCAGCCAUGCCGCGUGAGUGAUGAAGGCCCUAGGGUUGUAAAGCUCUUUCAGCGGGGAAGAUAAUGACGGUACCCGCAGAAGAAGCCCCGGCUAACUUCGUGCCAGCAGCCGCUGUAAUAC
rnacentral:rRNA from 1 species